rnacentral:rRNA from 1 species
UAAAAACCCCGACUUCGGAAGGGGUGUAUUUAUUAGAUACAAAACCAAUGCCCUUCGGGGCUCUUUGGUGAUUCAUGAUAACUAUACGAAUCGCACGGCCUUGCGCCGGCGAUGAUUCAUUCAAAUUUCUUCCCCAUCAACUUUCGAUGUUUGGGUAUUGGCCAAACAUGGUUGCAACGGGUAACGGAGGGUUAGGGCUCGACCCCGGAGAAGGAGCCUGAGAAACGGCUACUACAUCCAAGGAAGGCAGCAGGCGCGCAAAUUACCCAAUCCCGACUCGGGGAGGUAGUGACAAUAAAUACUGAUACAGGGCCCUUUCGGGCCUUGUAAUUGGAAUGAGUACAAUUUAAAUCCCUUAACGAGGAACAAUUGGAGGGCAAGUCUGGUGCCAGCAGCCGCGGUAAUUCCAGCUCCAAUAGCGUAUAUUAAAGUUGUUGUGGUUAAAAAGCUCGUAGUUGAACCUUGGGCCUGGCUGGCCGGUCCGCCUCACCGCGUGCACUGGUCCGGCCGGGCCUUUCCCUCUGUGGAACCCCAUACCCUUCACUGGGCGUGGCGGGGAAACAGGACAUUUACUUU